UGCGAACACAGAUGAUGAAAACAUGUCAACCUGGAACAAAAGAACAUUGGUGAAGGGUCUACAACAUAGAUUGGCGUGACAUUAUUGAAGUGUCAUGAAGACUUCAAGAGAUCACCAGUUACAAGCUCAUAUGAAUCUGAAUAUGAUGUAGGCCUAUACCUAAGAAGUGUUUGUCAGCCACCAUUAUGAAGAUGUCGAAAGAUCACCAGUAACAAGCUCAUAAUGAUCUGAAUAUGGUAAAGGCCUAUAACUUAAAAGGUAAUACAUAAUUCUGAACGAUUGUUUUUGUUGGCUUUUGAAGGAUGUGUUGGUAAAUGGAGCUCCACAUUAAAUAAAACUAGCACCCAGAUUAAAUUCAUCUAGCUAAAAAGGCUGAUCACCUUCCAUUGCCAUGCAUUUUUAAGUCUCAAAUAAUUGAUGGCACAAGUUUGAUAAAACUGGUGAAAAGCUCUCGAAUUUGUCAAUUUUAGGCAAAUAUUAAACUGCUAGACCUAGUACCCUUUUUUUAAUUUAUUUAUAAUAGUCACUGCAUGGUGCUGGUAGUCUUAAUAAACAAUACUUCUGAUUAAAUCUGGGUUGGGGGGGGGGGGUAUCUGUUGCAUUCCCCCUCCCAAUCAAAACCUCUUUAGGUCAGUAUUCCACCCAAAUUAUCUUGCACAUUUGAGGGAUUGCCUUUGAAAUUAUAAUUGACCAAUAAAACCUUGACUUUACAAAAGGAAAGUUAGCAAAACAGUCUAACACUUGGAUUUCUUGUUGUCUUGUGAGAAAAUAUGCAUAAGGCACCGACCAUGAAUCGCAGAACCUCGGCUGUUAGCCACAGCAGAUAAAUAAUCUGCCAGUGUAUAGCGUAGAAAUCCCAGAAUGCUUUAGUUUCCAAUAGCCAACUAUGCAAAUACAAUGAGAAACUAUAGUGCAGCCUGUCUUGUCUGCCACGUUUGUAUAACAAACAGACAACAAAAGUCCUGGAACUGGGGAUAUGGCAAAAGGGGGAUAAGGGGUGCAUUAUUUCUGCUACUUUCUGUCCCUCUUUUUAAUGGGUGAAAAGUGUAUCACCACAGGGGCAUACCCGUGCAAGAUACACAAAGAAAUAUCUAGGUAUCUUCGCUCCACACAUGGAUAAAUGAUUACCUGUGAGGGCAGAGUUGUUUCUUGUGAUUGAUUAGCUUACAUAUUUGGGGGCACAGACUGUAUACUCCCCCCA